rnacentral:rRNA from 1 species
AUGCAGGACCAGGCCGGGGCCGCCUCCGGCUCCGGGGAUCCGGACCCUCCGCCGGAGCACGCCGGCGGCGAGGGCGGCUCCUCCUCCGCCGCGGCCGCCGCCAGGCUCCCCUCCCGCAACGCCUCCUCCAAGUACGACUUCGUCAAGGUCAAGGUCUGGCUCGGGGAGAACGCCGACCACUACUACGUCCUCUCCAGGUUCCUCCUCAGCAGGAUGCUCACCGUCACCAAGAUUCCGAACCACGUUGCCAUUAAGAUUGCCCUUGAGCUCAAGAAGUUGCUCGUCGACAACAGCCUUCUUGAUGUUUCACAGAGUGACUUAGAGGCCAACCUUUUCAAGCUAAUGGAGAAAAGGGGAUAUGGAGAGGACUACAUUAAUCGAUAUAAGAUGAUGACAAGAUUCCAUCAUCAAAGAGUACCACUAGUAAUUUUGGUGUGUGGAACUGCUUGCACUGGAAAAUCAACAAUUGCUACACAGCUAGCUCAAAGGCUCAACCUACCAAAUGUUUUACAGACAGACAUGGUAUAUGAGUUGUUGCGGACAUCAACAGAUGCCCCGCUAACUUCAGUACCUGUGUGGGCUCGGGAUUUUAAUUCACCUGAAGAACUUAUCACCGAAUUUUGCAGAGAAUGCAGAGUUGUUCGCAAAGGUUUGGCUGGUGAUUUGAAGAAAGCAAUGAAAGAUGGGAAGCCAAUUAUAAUAGAGGGAAUUCAUUUGGAUCCAAGCAUUUACCUGAUGGACGAGGAGAAUGCAGAUGACAAUUCCAGAAUUGAGAAAAAGGUUGAAUCUGGAAAUUCAUCCAUCUCUGCAGAAAAGAAAACAGAACAGCAAUCAGAAAAUGGUCAACCUGAGAACAUUGUAAGUGUUCUAAAGGAAGAUAUCAUACAAAGCCAGGACUGCCUGCCUGAGAGUAGGACCAGUGAAGGGCUGUCUGGUGCUGACAGCCAUGAGAUUACCUCUUCUGAUUCUGAAGAGAAAAUUCUCAAAGCUGAAGGCAAUGGACAAAAGGAUUUGGACCAACAGAAGAACAACAGUGCCAAGAAAGACAAGCCUGCUGCUGAACCGAUAGUUGUUCCAAUUGUGUUGAGGAUGUCUGAUUUUGAUCACAAGGCAUUGUUAGAGGAAUGGAUAGCCACUAGAGCUAUCAGAGAUAAUUGCCUUCCUCAGGAUCAUCGAAAGCUUAUAAACAACCUCAAACUUAUUCAGGAUUAUCUUUGCUCUUUUGAGGCACAGGGGUUGACUGUUGUUGACAUCUCAGCAAACUCGUUUCCUCAAACGUUAGAUUGGCUCCAUGGCUAUCUUCUUCAGUGCAUUGAGCGCGGCCUUCUGGCUGCAUGUUCAGAAGGCCCCAAGCAAUAG